AGCCUCUUCAUAAAUCUGAUAAAGAGAAGAUAAUUCACGUGGCGAGUGAGGAGCUCCCAGGGAGAAUCUACAAUAACACUCUCAAGAAUUUAGUCCGUAGGCUAAAUCUGUCUUCUCAAGAAUCACUCACUCUGUAAUAACGCAUGGGUAUGUAAGUAAGCUGAGAACAAACAAAAGCCAGGGGCACAGGGAAUUUAUCUUUCCUAUUCUUUAUUCUCCUUUCUUUCUAUCCUUCACAUUUGAGUCCUAUAGUGUUCAGAGUUGCUGAUGAGGCACUAGGCAGCAGCAGCCAGCUGCAUGGGUGUCCCAUAACUACUCAGGGCUUGAGAGUUAACUCUAAAUUAGGAUUGCACCAGUAAGAAGUAGAGAUAAUUUCUGUUAAAGUUUGCUGGGGCUGGCAGGUUACUCGCAGGUUUCCCAGGUGGCCUCUUGUAUUCCUCUCAUCCUGGGGUCUGGCCCGCGGCCAUCCCGGCUGUCUCAAGGAUGGGGUUAAU
rnacentral:lncRNA from 1 species